rnacentral:rRNA from 1 species
GAUGAACGCUGACAGAAUGCUUAACACAUGCAAGUCUUUGGCGAAGCUGUGCUUGCACAGCCUAGCCAAGGCGGACGGGUGAGUAACGCGUAAGGAACUUGCCCUGCAGUCAGGGAUAACAGACGGAAACGACUGAUAAGACCUGGUAAAGUCAGGCGGACUCAUGUCCAGCCUGAUGAAAAGAGAUGCUGCAGGAGAGCCUUGCGUCCUAUUAGCUUGUUGGUGGGGUAACGGCCCACCAAGGCGAUGAUAGGUAGCCGGCCUGAGAGGGUGGACGGCCACAAGGGGACUGAGAUACGGCCAUGACGCCUACGGGAGGCAGCAGUGGGGAAUAUUGGACAAUGGGGGCAACACUGAUCAAGCAAUUCUGUGUGCACGAUGAAGGUUUUCGGAUUGUAAAGUGCUUUCAGCAGGGAAGAAAAAAAUGACGGUACCUGCAGAAGAAGCGACGGCUAAAUACGUG